rnacentral:rRNA from 1 species
AGCGAACGCUGGCGGCGUGCCUAACACAUGCAAGUCGAACGUGAAAGGGAGCAAUCCCAAGUAAAGUGGCGUACGGGUGAGUAACACGUAGGUAAUCUACCCCAGAAUCUGGAAUAACCGGCCGAAAGGCUGGCUAAUACUGGAUAGAGCGACGGAAUCCGUAAUUGGGUUUUUCGGGAAAGGGAGCCUGUAAAAAGGCCUUCGUUCUGGGAUGAGCCUGCGUCCCAUCAGCUAGUUGGUGAGGUAAAAGCUUACCAAGGCAAUGACGGGUAGCUGGUCGGAGAGGACGAGCAGCCACACUGGAACUGAAACACGGUCCAGACUCCUACGGGAGGCAGCAGUGGGGAAUCUUGCGCAAUGGACGAAAGUCUGACGCAGCAACGCCGCGUGAGUGAAGAAGGCCUUCGGGUUGUAAAGCUCUGUCGAGUGGGACGAAAAUGCUUGGAGUUCACAGCUCCAGGAACUGACGGUACCACUAAAGGAAGCACCGGCUAACUCCGUG